UACAGAGGGUGCAAGCGUUAAUCGGAAUUACUGGGCGUAAAGGGCGCGUAGGUGGUUAUAUGAGUGAGAUGUGAAAGCCCCGGGCUUAACCUGGGAAUUGCAUCUUAUACUGUAUGACUGGAGUGCAAUAGAGGGUAGUGGAAUUUCCGGUGUAGCGGUGAAAUGCGUAGAUAUCUGGAGGAACACCGGUGGCGAAGGCGGCAUUCUGGACUGUAACUGACACUGAUGAACGAAAGCCAGGGGAGCAAACGGG
rnacentral:rRNA from 1 species